ACGCUCGACACCUACAGGAGGCAGCAGUGGGGAAUAUUGCACAAUGGGGGAAACCCUGAUGCAGCGACGCCGCGUGGAGGAAGAAGGUCUUCGGAUUGUAAACUCCUGUUGUUGGGGAAAAAGAGGAUGGUACCCAACAAGGAAGUGACGGCUAACUACGUGCCAGCAGCCGCGGUAAUCUGAGCGGGCUGGCAAGGC
rnacentral:rRNA from 1 species